CCUACGGGUGGCAGCAGUGAGGAAUAUUGGUCAAUGGCCGGAAGGCUGAACCAGCCAUGCCGCGUGAAGGUCAGUGCCCUAUGGGCGUUAAACUUCUUUUGUGUGGGAGCAAUAAUGGUCACGUGUGGCCAGACGAGAGUACCGUACGAAUAAGCAUCGGCUAACUCCGUUCCAGCAGCCGCGGUAAUACGGGGGAUGCAAGCGUUAUCCGGAUUUUUUGGGUUUAAAGGGUGCGUAGGCUGUGAGGUAAGUCAGCGGUGAAAUGCCCCCGCUCAACGGGGUGACGUGCCAUUGAUACUGGCUUGCUGGAAUGCGAAUGCCGUGGGAGGAAUGUGUGGUGUAGCGGUGAAAUGCAUAGAUAUCACACAGAACACCGAUUGCGAAGGCAUCUCACGAAGCCGCGAUUGACGCUGAUGCACGAAAGCGUGGGUAUCAAACAGGAUUAGAUACCCCAGUAGUC
rnacentral:rRNA from 1 species